UAUGGAGGCCCAACAGGUCUAACAGGAGUGUGGAUGCCAAAUUUGGUCGCUCUAGCUCUAAUAGUCUCUGAGAUAUAGAGAGAGGCAGAGCGAAAGAGAAUGAAAUUUUGUUCUUCAUUUUGGCUGGUUCAGAUUCUGCAGUCAUGUUUAGACUGUCAUGUCAUGUCAGUUUAUCAGUCACAUUGAUUUUCAACACCUUGUCUAGCUCACACAACAUGCAUAGUCUUAUAAUUUCAUAGUAUUUUCAAAAAUGUUCCAAUAUUUAUUCCAGUACUUACGCUGUAUGGACGCCUUAUGUGGUUAUUGUCUCGUCUGUUUUUAGAACAUUCGAUAUGUACAAUUUCGAUCCGAUUGAAGUGAAGAUGAUAGCCUUAGCGACCUGUGCCAUCACCCCGCCAGCAGCAGUAUCCAACGACAAGCUCAUCAGCAGCAACUCUGUAUUUAUUUGCAGUUCGUUAGUUCUUUUCCUUGAUUUAGCACUGCUACCACAAGCAGCAACGACCGCUGAGUAUACCUCUCCAGGCUAGUGCAGGCCUCCUGCUGCGGCAUAUGGCAAGGGAAGGUAGUACCACGAACAACAAUCAGUCAGCGCAGGCUCCUG